rnacentral:rRNA from 1 species
GACCGCCUACGGGAGGCAGCAGUGAGGAAUAUUGGUCAAUGGGCGGGAGCCUGAACCAGCCACGCCGCGUGAAGGAAGAAGGCGCCAGGCGUCGUAAACUUCUUUUGUCGGGGAACAAAGGGCGCCACGCGUGGCGUUGCGAGUGUACCCGAAGAAAAAGCAUCGGCUAACUCCGUGCCAGCAGCCGCGGUAAUACGGAGGAUGCGAGCGUUAUCCGGAUUUAUUGGGUUUAAAGGGUGCGUAGGCGGUCCGGAAAGUCAGCGGUAAAAGCCCGGGGCUCAACCCCGGCGAGCCGUUGGAACUGG